rnacentral:rRNA from 1 species
AGCUUGCUCCUUUGACGUUAGCGGCGGACGGGUGAGUAACACGUGGAUAACCUACCUAUAAGACUGGGAUAACUUCGGGAAACCGGAGCUAAUACCGGAUAAGAUUUUGAACCGCAUGGUUCAAUAGUGAAAGACGGCCUUGCUGUCACUUAUAGAUGGAUCCGCGCCGUAUUAGCUAGUUGGUAAGGUAACGGCUUACCAAGGCAACGAUACGUAGCCGACCUGAGAGGGUGAUCGGCCACACUGGAACUGAGACACGGUCCAGACUCCUACGGGAGGCAGCAGUAGGGAAUCUUCCGCAAUGGGCGAAAGCCUGACGGAGCAACGCCGCGUGAGUGAUGAAGGUCUUCGGAUCGUAAAACUCUGUUAUCAGGGAAGAACAAACGUGUAAGUAACUGUGCACGUCUUGACGGUACCUGAUCAGAAAGCCACGGCUAACUACGUGCCAGCAGCCGCGGUAAUACGUAGGUGGCAAGCGUUAUCCGGAAUUAUUGGGCGUAAAGCGCGCGUAGG